rnacentral:rRNA from 1 species
GACGUAGGGCGCGAGCGUUGUCCGGAUUUAUUGGGCGUAAAGAGCUCGUAGGCGGCUUGUCGCGUCGGCUGUGAAAACCCGCGGCUCAACUGUGGGCGGGCAGCUGAUACGGGCAGGCUGGAGUUCGGUAGGGGAGACUGGAAUUCCUGGUGUAGCGGUGAAAUGCGCAGAUAUCAGGAGGAACACCAGUGGCGAAGGCGGCUCACUGGCCCGAUACUGACGCUGAGGCACGGAAGCGUGGGGAGCAAACAGG